AACUGCUGGAAGGAAAUCCAUGAAAAUGUUAGUAAUAGUUGCCUUUUGCACGUCGCCCGCCGCCCUUGGUCAGAACAUGCCUUUUAUCGCCAUUUCCCAAAAUGUUUCAACAGAUGGAGAAGAAGAAGCAAGAGAACAAAAUGAGAAGAGACCAGUUGAACGACCAGUACUUGGAACUGUUAGAAAAACAGAGGCUGUACUUUAAGACUGUGAAAGAGUUCAAGGAGAAAAAAUUAACUAUCUACCCCUCCAAAAACACGUGCUUAAAAAAUGUCAGAGUAUCUUGCUUCUGGCAGAACAAUUCAGUUUCACCCCCGCCCAGCCCAGAGCCUCCCCAGCUCUGAGUGGAAGAUAUGCAGAAACCCUACAGGAGGGCCGCAAGAACGAGGUGCUGCUGUCCAAGGUGAAAGCCAAGGCCUCCUGAAAAUUCCCAGACGGCAUCCUACGUCAUUGAUGUCUUUUUCUAAACGCCGUGUAUCAACUACAAGAUGGUGAAAUGGUUGUGAACGCUGCAGCAAAGAUGCAGGUGUGAUGAUCUCGACACCCUGGAUAUUUCCUUUCUCCUAUUUGCUUCCAUUGUUGUCGAUGGAAUCAGAUGGUGCAACCGUUGUGGCUCGGGUAACACCCAUCCUCCGGUGAAGAAGUGUGGGCAGUAUUUGUUCUCUGUGUCGAUCCAGCUCUUAUUUCUCCAGUGACAUUGCACAUAUGAAGGUACCGUGUUUGUCUGGACUCUGAAUAAAGUGAUGUUAAUUGA